AAUCAACGCUGGCGGCGUGCCUAACACAUGCAAGUCGAACGCGAAAGUUCCUUCGGGGAUGAGUAGAGUGGCGUCCGGGUGAGUAACGCGUGGGUAAUCUGCCUUUGGGGUGGGGGAUAACUCAGGGAAACGUUGGGCUAAUACCGCAUAAUGCAGCGGCUCGACAUCGAGACAGUUGUUAAAGCAGCAAUGCGCCUGAAGAGGAGCCUGCGUCUGAUUAGCAGUUGGUAAGGUAAUGGCUUA
rnacentral:rRNA from 1 species